rnacentral:rRNA from 1 species
UACGUAGGGUGCGAGCGUUAAUCGGAAUUACUGGGCGUAAAGGGUGCGCAGGCGGCGUCGCAAGUCAGGCGUGAAAUCCCCGGGCUUAACCUGGGAACUGCACUUGAAACUACGAUGCUGGAGUAUGGCAGAGGGAGGUGGAAUUCCACGUGUGGCGGUGAAAUGCGUAGAGAUGUGGAGGAACACCGAUGGCGAAGGCAGCCUCCUGGGCCAAUACUGACGCUCAUGCACGAAAGCGUGGGGAGCAAACAGG